GCCAGGCGUGGUGGCGCGUGCCUGGAAUCCCAGCUACUUGGGCUGAUUCAGGAGAAUUGCUUGAACCCAGGAGGCAGAGGUUGCGGUGAGCUGAGAUUGUGCCAUUGCACGCCACCCUGGGCAGCAAGAGCGAAACUCCAUCUCAAAAGAAAAAAAAAAUGGUUCCUUCUCCCAGGAGUUUAGGAGCAGCAGGUUACCUAAGGAGGGGUGAAGGGAGGCCUCCAGGUCGGAAACGGAGCAGGUCAAAACUCCCAUGCUGAUCAGUAGUGGGAUUGUGCCUGUGAAUAACCACUGCUGUCCAGCAUUGGCAACAUAGUGAGACCCUAUCUCU
rnacentral:SRP_RNA from 1 species